rfam:Botryobasidium botryosum FD-172 SS1 unplaced genomic scaffold BOTBOscaffold_10, whole genome shotgun sequence.
GGGCGAGUAGCUUAUCGGAAGCACCAGCUUUCUCACGCAAUCGAUGAGAUCACUUGUACGGAGGUUCAAAUCCUCCCUCGUCCA